CCUACGGGAGGCAGCAGUGAGGAAUAUUGGUCAAUGGACGAGAGUCUGAACCAGCCAAGUAGCGUGAAGGAGGAAUGCCCUAAGGGUUGUAAACUUCUUUUAUAUGGGAAUAAAAUGUUCCACGUGUGGGCUUUUGUAUGUACCAUAUGAAUAAGCAUCGGCUAACUCCGUGCCAGCAGCCGCGGUAAUACGGAGGAUCCGAGCGUUAUCCGGAUUUAUUGGGUUUAAAGGGAGCGUAGAUGGGUUGUUAAGUCAGUUGUGAAAGGUUGCGGCUCAACCGUAAAAUUGCAGUUGAAACUGGCAGCCUUGAGUACAGGUGAGGUAUGCGGAAUGCGUGGUGUAGCGGUGAAAUGCUUAGAUAUCGCGAAGAACUCCGAUUGCGAAGGCAGCCUACUAAACUGCCACUGACAUUGAUGCUCGAAAGUGUGGGUAUCAAACAGGAUUAGAUACCCCAGUAGUC
rnacentral:rRNA from 1 species